CUCAACAACAGAUGUCUCGGCUCUCGCAUCGAUGAAGAACGUAGUGAAAUGCGAUACUUGGUGUGAAUUGCAGAAUCCCGUGAACCAUCGAGCUUUUAAAUGCAAGUUGCGCACGAAGCCUUCUGGCCAAGGGCACGUCUUCCUGGGCAUCACG
rnacentral:rRNA from 1 species